UUGGACUGUAGGAGGGGGAGGUAGGGCUGUAUGAGGGGGAGGUAGGGCUGUAUGAAGGGGAUGUCGGGCUGUAUGAAGGGGAUGUUGGGCUGUAUGAAGGUGAUGUAGGGCUGUAUGAAGGUGAUGUUGGGCUGUAGGAUGGCGAUGUGGGGCUGUAUGAUGGAGAUGUAGGGCUGUAUGCGGGAGAUGUGGGGCUGUAUGCUGGUGAGGUUGGACUAUAAACUGGCGAAGUGGGGCUGUAGCUUGGUGAAGUGGGGCUGUAGCUUGGUGAUGUUGGGCUGUAACUUGGAGAUGUUGGGCUGUAGCUUGGAGAUGUGGGCGAGUAUGAUGGACUGGUGGGCGAGUAUGUUGGACUUGUUGGGGAGUAAUUUGGGCUUGUAGGACUAUAGGUGGGAGAGCCAGGUGUAUAGGAUGGUGAGGUGGGACUGUAACUUGGUGAUGCAGGGCUGUAUGAUGGAGAAAGAGGGCUAUAUCCU
rnacentral:lncRNA from 1 species